rnacentral:sRNA from 1 species
UAUCAAAAAAUAAUGUAAUACAAUUCAUUCUAUCGGUAAUUCGAUCGGCAUUAUCUUUUGCGUAAUGGUAUAUUAAUGCAAUAGGUUUUGUUGCGAUGCUCGGCAUUUUCUCGAGUUUAUUCAGUUUAAAUAAAGUUUGACAUUGCUGACGGAAAUGUGUAGGUAUAUACAUGUAUAUAUAUGAUUCAUUUCGAAAAAAUAAAUUGUGUUCUUUAUUUGUUAUAGUGAAUGUUUCUUGUGUUUAAUUGUUUUCAAUUUCUAUUUACUAACCAUAUUUGAGUGUUAAGCUUCAAAUUAUAAGCAAGAUACAGAGAUUUGCUCACAAUUCUAUGUUUGUACACAGAUCUUAAAAACUAAAGAUUAAAAAAGUAAAAAAUUUGUCAAUAUUUAUUAAGAAAAUUUUCAAAGUAUGUUCGUUCAGAAACCAACUUUAACAUCUUAUUGUAUUGUAAACUUAACAUUUUUCGUCAUUAUUACUCCUACUGUACAUGUGAUCCUUCACUGUGUUUGUGUACAUUUGUAUAAACUGAUUUUGAACCUCAAAUACCAGUGAACUGGUCUUGAGUGAAUAAAAGAAUAUAAAAUCUU